rnacentral:sRNA from 1 species
CAUGCCCACCACCGUGGACGAUGUCCUGGAGCAUGGAGGGGAGUUUCAUUUUUUCCAGAAGCAAAUGUUUUUCCUCUUGGCUCUGCUCUCGGCUACCUUCACGCCCAUCUACGUGGGCAUCGUCUUCCUGGGCUUCACCCCUGACCACCGCUGCCGGAGCCCCGGAGUGGCUGAGCUGAGUCUGCGCUGCGGCUGGAGUCCUGCAGAGGAACUGAACUACACGGUGCCCGGCCCAGGACCUGCGGGCGAGGCCUCCCCAAGACAGUGUGGGCGCUACGAGGUGGACUGGAACCAGAGCGCCUUUGGCUGCGUGGACCCCCUGGCCAGCUUGGACACCAACAGGAGCCGCCUGCCACUGGGCCCCUGCCGGGACGGCUGGGUGUACGAGACGCCUGGCUCCUCCAUCGUCACCGAGGUUUGGCCGUAAGCUCUGCCUCCUAACUACAGUCCUAAUAAAUGCUGCAGCUGGAGUUCUCAUGGCCAUUUCCCCAACCUAUACAUGGAUGUUAAUUUUUCGCUUAAUCCAAGGACUGGUCAGCAAAGCAGGCUGGUUAAUAGGCUACAUCCUGAUUACAGAAUUUGUUGGGCGGAGAUAUCGGAGAACAGUGGGGAUUUUUUACCAAGUUGCCUAUACAGUUGGGCUCCUGGUGCUAGCCGGGGUGGCUUACGCACUUCCUCACUGGAGGUGGUUGCAGUUCACAGUUACUCUGCCCAACUUCUUCUUCUUGCUCUAUUACUGGUGCAUACCUGAGUCUCCCAGGUGGCUGAUCUCCCAGAAUAAGAAUGCUGAAGCCAUGAGAAUAAUUAAGCACAUCGCAAAGAAAAAUGGAAAAUCUCUACCCGCCUCCCUUCAGUGCCUGAGACUUGAAGAGGAAACUGGCGAGAAAUUGAACCCUUCAUUUCUUGACUUGGUCAGAACUCCUCAGAUACGGAAACAUACUAUGAUAUUGAUGUACAACUGGUUCACGAGCUCUGUGCUCUACCAGGGCCUCAUCAUGCACAUGGGCCUUGCAGGGGACAAUAUCUACCUGGAUUUCUUCUACUCUGCCCUGGUUGAAUUCCCAGCUGCCUUCAUGAUCAUCCUCACCAUCGACCGCAUCGGCCGCCGUUACCCUUGGGCUGCAUCAAAUAUGGUUGCAGGGGCAGCCUGUCUGGCCUCAGUUUUUAUCCCUGGUGAUCUACAAUGGCUAAAAAUUAUUAUCUCAUGCUUGGGAAGAAUGGGGAUCACAAUGGCCUAUGAGAUAGUGUGCCUGGUCAAUGCUGAGCUGUACCCCACAUUCAUUAGGAAUCUUGGCGUCCACAUCUGUUCCUCAAUGUGUGACAUUGGUGGCAUCAUCACGCCAUUCCUGGUCUACCGGCUCACUAACAUCUGGCUUGAGCUCCCGCUAAUGGUUUUUGGCGUGCUUGGCUUGGUUGCUGGAGGUCUGGUGCUGUUGCUUCCAGAAACUAAAGGGAAGGCUUUGCCUGAGACCAUCGAGGAAGCCGAAAAUAUGCAAAGACCAAGAAAAAAUAAAGAAAAGAUGAUUUACCUCCAAGUUCAGAAA